GAUGAACGCUGGCGGCGUGCCUAAUACAUGCAAGUCGAACGCGCAGCGAAAGGUGCUUGCACCUUUCAAGCGAGUGGCGAACGGGUGAGUAACACGUGGAUAACCUGCCUCAAGGCUGGGGAUAACAUUUGGAAACAGAUGCUAAUACCGAAUAAAACUUAGUAUCGCAUGAUACAAAGUUAAAAGGCGCUACGGCGUCACCUAGAGAUGGAUCCGCGGUGCAUUAGUUAGUUGGUGGGGUAAAGGCUUACCAAGACGAUGAUGCAUAGCCGAGUUGAGAGGAUGAUCAGCCACACUGGAACUGAGACACGGUCCAGACUCCUACGGGAGGCAGCAGUGGGGAAUAUUGGACAAUGGGGGCAACCCUGAUCCAGCCAUGCCGCGUGUGCGAUGAAGGCCCUAGGGUUGUAAAGCACUGUUGUAUGGGAAGAAAUGCUAAAAUAGGGAAUGAUUUUAGUUUGACGGUACCAUACCAGAAAGGGACGGCUAAAUACGUGCCAGCAGCCGCCGUAA
rnacentral:rRNA from 1 species